UGCGUAGGUGGCGGGGUAAGUUGGAUGUGAAAUCUCGGAGCUCAACUCCGAAACUGCAUUCAAUACUGCCUUGCUAGAGUACUGGAGAGGAGAUUGGAAUUUACGGUGUAGCAGUGAAAUGCGUAGAUAUCGUAAGGAAGACCAGUGGCGAAGGCGGAUCUCUGGACAGUUACUGACACUGAGGACGAAGGCCAGGGGAGCGAAAC
rnacentral:rRNA from 1 species